rnacentral:rRNA from 1 species
AGUGAACGCUGGCGGUAGGCCUAACACAUGCAAGUCGAACGGCAGCACAGUAAGAGCUUGCUCUUACGGGUGGCGAGUGGCGGACGGGUGAGGAAUACAUCGGAAUCUACUUUUUCGUGGGGGAUAACGUAGGGAAACUUACGCUAAUACCGCAUACGACCUACGGGUGAAAGCAGGGGAUCUUCGGACCUUGCGCGAUUGAAUGAGCCGAUGUCGGAUUAGCUAGUUGGCGGGGUAAAGGCCCACCAAGGCGACGAUCCGUAGCUGGUCUGAGAGGAUGAUCAGCCACACUGGAACUGAGACACGGUCCAGACUCCUACGGGAGGCAGAAGUGGGGAAUAUUGGACAAUGGGCGAAAGCCUGAUCCGGCCAUACCGCGUGGGUGAAGAAGGCCUUCGGGUUGUAAAGCCCUUUUGUUGGGAAAGAAAAGCAGCAGGUUAAUACCCCGCUGUUCUGACGGUACCCAAAGAAUAAGCACCGGCUAACUUCGUG